CAUAUAUUUGUGUAAAGUUCAAAAGGGGCCACACUGAUGUCUGGGGAAGAUUCAUCACAGCCACACAAGUACAAAUGAUUAAGAUCCGGUCCCGUGCCGAUGGUAGUGUUAAGUGACAAGUACUAUGCUGUCGUAUGUAUGCCAGUCCAAAAUUAACAUAAAUGAAUGAGGUGGAAGUCAAUAGUGAAUCAAAAUGGCCUGGUUACAAACUUUGUUCAAAAUAUCUUCAUUUGUGUUUGGCACAACAAAGAAAUUCAUACAGAUUUGAACUA